GUUAAUAACGUAAAUUCCUAGCUAAUAUUAUAAAUUCCUAACAUUAAUAGUCGAUAUUGUCAAUGCCUAGGCAUUAACUGACAAUAUAUAGGCAAGAUAAUGUUAGCUCAAAUAUCACUUACAGGCAUUUUGCCUUUCAUUUUUUAUUUUUCUCUGUCAAUUUUUUAACUUUAUUAGAUGUUGCUGGUAGCACUUUAGCCUUAUGACUAGUUGAACUGAUUUGAAUUAAUGGGUUUGUUUUGAAUUUUGAUCCUAUCUCAAGACCUGUAAAGUUUAAUUUGUAGAACGAUUGUCAAUGUCUCACCGAAAUUAUCAAUCAGAUUAUGAUCUGGAUCAACUAGCUGAACAGUUAUUGAGUCAAUAUUUGUUAUAUUCAAUUUGUAAUUUAUUAAAUUCGGUGGUGACUGAAUUACUUUAAAUCUUGUAAUUUCACUAGGCAAGAACUCGUAAAUCGAAUGACUAAAGAUGAGUGCUGGAUGAUCCUUGAGCUAUAUUACAUAUUAAUUUUAUAGAAUUAAUUGUUUUUAAAUUAAUAACUCGAACGAAAAAUUUCAUAUUCUCAUUUUUCAAACCUAAUACUGGAGCUAUACUAUGUAAAAUAUCUAAGUGUAGUAUUCCAUUACAUUUUAUAUAUGAUCUGAAAUCAUUAGGGCCCACUGAAAUGUCGAAUAUUAACUCUUUGCCUAAUUUUGUAUUAUAGAUUUUGAAACUAGUGAAUGAAAACUUGCCAUGUUGCACGUAUACGAGACAAGUAGACAACAAAUUCAUAGGUAAAGUGCUCUUAAUGUGUAUAGGUUGGUAUUGUUAGCCUAAACUUAAAUUAAAACUGUGCAUGGCUUGGCAUUUUUAUACAUACGCAGUUACCUAGUAACCAUAUGAGUUACCAUAUGAAGUCUAUAGAAAAAAUGCUUUUAAAAUAUAUUAUUUCACUUACCUUUUUUAAACUUUGUGCAGUCAAAGUUUAUAGGUUCUAUUAAUACUAUACAGUAGCUCAACAAAAAUAUCUAACAAUAAUAAAACCAAAAAAAAUGUUUGAUGACCAAACGGAUAGGGCAGAAACCAUUUACAUUAGUAAUUGCGGGCUUGUGUUUAAAAGUUUAUU